UACGAAGGGGGCUAGCGUUGCUCGGAAUUACUGGGCGUAAAGCGCACGUAGGCGGAUUGUUAAGUCGGGGGUGAAAUCCUGGAGCUCAACUCCAGAACUGCCUUCGAUACUGGCGAUCUCGAGUUCGGGAGAGGUGAGUGGAACUGCGAGUGUAGAGGUGAAAUUCGUAGAUAUUCGCAAGAACACCAGUGGCGAAGGCGGCUCACUGGCCCGAUACUGACGCUGAGGCACGAAAGCGUGGGGAGCAACAGGG
rnacentral:rRNA from 1 species